GACGAACGCUGGCGGCGUGCUUAACACGUGCAAGUCGAACGGAAAGGCCCUGCUUUUGUGGGGUGCUCGAGUGGCGAACGGGUGAGUAACACGUGAGUAACCUGCCCUUGACUUUGGGAUAACUUCAGGAAACUGGGGCUAAUACCGGAUAGGAGCUCCUGCUGCAUGGUGGGGGUUGGAAAGUUUCGGCGGUUGGGGAU
rnacentral:rRNA from 1 species